rnacentral:tRNA from 1 species
GGGCCUGUAGCUCAGGUGGUUAGAGCGCACGCCUGAUAAGCGUGAGGUCAGUGGUUCAACUCCACACAGGCCCAUCA